rnacentral:rRNA from 1 species
GAUGAACGCUGGCGGCGUGCCUAAUACAUGCAAGUCGAACGCUGGAAAUCUAGCUUGCUAGCUUGAAGGAGUGGCGAACGGGUGAGUAAUACAUAAGCAACCUACCCACGAAGACUGGGAUAAUCUCUGGAAACGGGGACUAAUACCGGAUAGGUAAUCGGAAGGCAUCUUCUGAUUAUUAAAGGUUAAAAACACUGGUGGAUGGGCUUAUGGCGCAUUAGUUAGUUGGUGAGGUAACGGCCCACCAAGACGAUGAUGCGUAGCCGGCCUGAAAGGGUGAACGGCCACAUUGGGACUGAGACACGGCCCAGACUCCUACGGGAGGCAGCAGUAGGGAAUUGUCGGCAAUGGGGGAAACCCUGACCGAGCAACGCCGCGUGAGUGAUGACGGCCUUCGGGUUGUAAAGCUCUGUUGUAAGGGAAGAACGGUAGAUAGAGAAUAUCUAAAUGACGGUACCUUACCAGAAAGCCACGGCUAACUACGUG